UGCCAGCCGCCGCGGUAAUACGGAGGGGGUUAGCGUUGUUCGGAAUUACUGGGCUUAAAGGGCGCGUAGGCGGCGCGGUACGGUUCGGGUGAAAUCCCUCGGCUCAACCGAGGAACUGCCCGGGCUACGGCCGCGCUUGACAGCAUCAGGGGAAGGUGGAACUCCAGGUGGAGCGGUGAAAUGUGUAGAUAUCUGGAGGAACGCCGGUGGCGAAAGCGACCUUCUGGGGUGCUUGUGACGCUGAGGCGCGAAAGCUAGGGGAGCGAACGGGAUUAGAUA
rnacentral:rRNA from 1 species